rnacentral:rRNA from 1 species
GUGAGGAAUAUUGCGCAAUGGAGGCAACUCUGACGCAGCCAUGCCGCGUGCAGGAAGAAGGCGCUACGCGUUGUAAACUGCUUUUAACCGGGAAGAAACCCCAGGACGUGUCCUGGGUUGACGGUACCGGAGGAAUAAGCACCGGCUAACUUCGUGCCAGCAGCCGCGGUAAUACGAAGGGUGCAAGCGUUAUCCGGAUUCAUUGGGUUUAAAGGGUGCGUAGGCGGAGCGUUAAGUCAGUGGUGAAAUCCUGCAGCUUAACUGUAGACUUGCCAUUGAUACUGGCGCUCUUGAGUGCGCUUGAAGUGGGCGGAAUGUGCCGUGUAGCGGUGAAAUGCUUAGAUAUGGCACAGAACACCAAUUGCGAAGGCAGCUCACUAAGGCGAUACUGACGCUGAGGCACGAAAGCGUGGGGAUCGAACAGGAUUAGAAACCUUGGUAGUCC